rnacentral:rRNA from 1 species
GCUUAGUGGCGGACGGGUGAGUAACGCGUGAGUAACCUGCCUCUCAGAGGGGGAUAACGUUCUGAAAAGAACGCUAAUACCGCAUAUAAUCAAGAAACCGCAUGAUUUUUUGAUGAAAGGAGCAAUCCGCUGAGAGAUGGACUCGCGUCUGAUUAGCUAGAUGGUGGGGUAACGGCCUACCAUGGCGACGAUCAGUAGCCGGACUGAGAGGUUGAACGGCCACAUUGGGACUGAGACACGGCCCAGACUCC